rnacentral:rRNA from 1 species
UACAGAGGUGGCAAGCGUUGUUCGGAUUUAUUGGGCGUAAAGGGUCCGUAGGCGGUUUGGAAAGUCAGAUGUGAAAGCCCACAGCUCAACUGUGGAACUGCAUUUGAAACUUCCAGACUAGAGUAUGAGAGGGGUUAAGGGAAUUCCCGGUGUAAGGGUGAAAUCUGCAGAGAUCGGGAGUAACACCAGUCGCGAAGGCGCUUAACUGGCUCAUUACUGACGCUCAGGGACGAAAGCUAGGGUAGCAAACGGG